rnacentral:rRNA from 1 species
CCUACGGGAGGCAGCAGUGAGGAAUAUUGGUCAAUGGACGCAAGUCUGAACCAGCCAUGCCGCGUGCAGGAAGACGGCUCUAUGAGUUGUCAACUGCUUUUGUACGAGGGUAAACGCAGAUACGCGUAUCUGUCUGAAAGUAACGUACGAAUAAGGAUCGGCUAACUCCGUGCCAGCAGCCGCGGUAAGACGGAGGAUUCAAGCGUUAUCCGGAUUUAUUGGGUUUAAAGGGUGCGUAGGCGGUCGGAUAAGUUAGAGGUGAAAUCCCGGGGCUUAACUUCGGAAUUGCCUCUGAUACUGUUCGGCUAGAGAGUAGUUGAGGUAGGCGGAAUGUGUGGUGUAGCGGUGAAAUGCUUAGAGAUCAUACAGAACACCGAUUGCGAAGGCAGCUUACCAGGCUACUUCUGACGUUGAUGCACGAAAGCGUGGGUAUCAAACAGGAUUAGAUACCCGAGUAGUC